UACAGAGGGUGCAAGCGUUGUUCGGAAUUAUUGGGCGUAAAGCGCGUGUAGGCGGCCUGGCAAGUCGGGUGUGAAAGCCCUCGGCUCAACCGAGGAAGUGCGCCCGAAACUGCUGGGCUUGAGUGCCGGAGAGGGUGGCGGAAUUCCCCAAGUAGAGGUGAAAUUCGUAGAUAUGGGGAGGAACACCGGUGGCGAAGGCGGCCACCUGGACGGCAACUGACGCUGAGACGCGAAAGCGUGGGGAGCAAACAGGAUUAGAUACCCCCGUAGUCC
rnacentral:rRNA from 1 species